AGAAGAAUCAGAGAAGCAGAUGGAAGAUUUUAGAAAAAUCGAGCAGCUAACUGGUUCCUUGUAGCAAAUAUCACAUGGUUGAUAAUGUCUGCUCCCUAGUGCUCUUAGUCUCUGAAUGUCACACAUUGUGCUUUAUGCUAAGUCUCUGCGUGGCGGUCUUGGUGAUUCACUAAUGGAAGAAAAAUUAUGUAAAAUAUUUUUUUUAAAAAAAGAAAGUAACAUACCAGCCUAAGGUAUGGGUCAGUGGGCAUGCAUGGUCCCAUAGCCUUUUGCAUUAGCUCCAAGGGCAAAUUCUCUUCAUCCUCAGCCUCAGUCUUUUUGCAUCCCAAACCCCUGUUCCCUGACCACAGCCCCACAGUCCCUUUACUCCUGGCCCAUCCUUGCCCUGGUCACCAACCUCCUUCUAUCUCUUCCAUGGCCUCCACGGCUCCACUAUCCAGACAGUCUGACUGCCACAAUCCAUUCCCCUCAUUCCUGGUCUUCAGGGCCAAGAACACAUGGCCACAUCAGGCUGUGUAGUCAGGUGAACAGAUGACUGCAGAGAGCUGGCACCAACCCAUUUUUGGUUUUUGCCAACUAUGUUCAGGACACAGAUUUAACACUCAUAACCUAACAAAGCUUCCUGGAAUAUUAGCUCACCACAGGUUGCCAGAACGUCUGAUUUGCAUCUUACGCACUCCCCCCCCCCCUUUCUUCCUGAGAAAUUUGAGCGAUUUUGUUUUGGAAACAGGCAGCGAUUGCUUCAGAGAACAUUGCAAGGGCUGGAGAAACAGCAGGAGCACAAAGACAGAACUUUCCAGCACAUAGCACUGCUCCAAGCUGCCAUAGCAGAGAGGAGCAGGAAGGAAUCCUCCCUGCUAGAGGAGGACAGGAGAAAGGCAAGUCAGAGGCUGCAGUUCUUAAAGACACAGCAUUUGGAGAGAGAGGCGUUUUUGGCAGAACACAAUGAAAGGAGCUUUGAACAAGAGAAAGACAGGCUGGAUUUGCUCAGGAGCAGAAUACAGUCACAGCAGGAAAUAUGGGAACAAGAAUCACAGGAGCAGGACAGGCAGCAAAAGCAGCACCAUGCUGCCAAAAGGAGAGUGUUCCAGAGCAGAGACCAUUCCCACCAGAAGAGGGAAGAGGAGGGCCAAAAACACUGUGACCUCCAGCAGUACCUCAGAGACCAGAACCUUUUGAUGCUCCGGACAUCACUACUAGAGUGAAGAAGCUGCAGUGUGGGUAAGCAGGUCCUCGAGCAUUUCACAAACCUGCUCUGCAUCUUAUAGGUGUGAGUCAGUGCACUGGAGCUCAGGAAACAGUGCAGUUGUAACAAGCAAAACUACAGUUCCUGCAGAGAUCUUAUAGCUUCCUUUUCUUGCAGCCAGAGUGCAUUUUCACUGCUCUGUCCUUUGCAAGCUUUCCACUCUGCAGGAACUAGUCUAAUCCACCCAUUCAAUGUGUAGACCCCCCCCCAACUCUGUCUAUUAUGUCUUAUAUGUAUUGAGUGACCAAACUGACAGACCCAACUCUGCAACCAAGAGCUAAGUUGGUAUUUAAUUAUAGUGUUCAGUUCCUGCCCCAAAGGCAGUCCCCAUCUGGAGGGGCCUAGCUUUCUCCAUAGGACUCCAAAGAGUCAGCACCUGUAGUGUUGGGUUCAGGUUUGAGCCUGGUGAAAGAAAACAUCAUGGGAGCACUCCAGAGGGGAGCAACAGAGGAGCUAAGAGUUACAGAAGCCAUUCAGAGAAACAGCACAAGGCCUGGAGCCUGGCAGAUGGACAUCAGGCUAUAACUGAUUUCAAGCUGCAAAUGACAGAGACACGAAUUUGUUAAGUAAGGGCCUCCCACUGUCAAGGCCCACUCCCUGAAGUGUGCAGGCCACUCCCCUAGAGGAAGAAUGACUUAUGUGUAACUCCAAAAUGCAAAAAUAUGUUUUUUGGUGAAAAGCCACCAGUUCUAGGCAUUGUGAGGAAGAAAAUAUCUGUACUUCUCUGAAAUGUGCCUGGAGAAUCACUGAAUCCAGGGGCAGGCUUUGGGGGUCUGAUAUGUUUUACCUGUUGCCCCACCUUCAGGCUUGUCUACAAAAGCAGAAAGUUUUAAGCUGGGGAGAGUGUCAGGAAGGCAGUGAGACAGCUUUGCAAGUAGAGUGUCUGUUCAGAGUAAAUCAGCUUGACAUGCACCAUGAAUAAGUGAGGAGAAUGCUACUAAGACAAAUAUUUAGAUAAAUUGAAAGGUAAGUAGACAAAUUGUACCACAAACCGUGGUAGCCAGUAGCAGUAGCCAAGAUAGGAGAAGGAUUCCCCAUUCAGGCUACAGCUACAAGCUGGCAUCCAGGAUGCAACUAGCUCCCCCAAUUGUGUAGAAGCAUCACUCACUUUCCUUAGUGAAGCAUGCAGUUAUCAGCCACUCCCAUGGACAAGCUAUCACCUUCUCUCCCACAGAAGGGAAACAAUAAAACACACCAAGAGCCAGCUUUAUACA
ensembl:lncRNA